rfam:Solanum tuberosum cultivar DM 1-3 516 R44 scf00277_23, whole genome shotgun sequence.
ACGACCUUACUUGAACAGGAUCUGUUCUAUAGGCUCGUACCACUGUAUCCUUGAUUUCUAAGGAGACAGGAAACCAAGUCUGGUGGAUGAAUCAUGGCCAUUAGACUAGAGCGUGAUUAACAGCACCCAUGGCCGUUGUGGUCAUGGCGCAGUAGAUGAUCGUUCUCAGCUCCAAUAAUGGUGCCUGAGAUGGUCUAAUGGCUGUCUGACAGACU